GUAAAAAAACGAAAAAAAUCCAAUGAAUAGUGUCCUGUACAAGGAGUAACUUAGUCGAAUGAAAUCAUCCUUCCUAAAAUCCUGGCUCUAAGAUUGAAGGGAGACGAAGGAGCUGUUUUCAACAAGUCAAUAGAUGGUUCUAUAAAGACAAAGAAGAUCCCCAAAUAUUCGCGAGACCCAUGACUUUUCUAAACUAGCUGUCAAGGGCAGUGGAUGAAGCACCGCCUCUAGCACCACGACGAAAACCCAGUUCCCAUGCAAGUUCCAGACCUCCGCGCAUUACAACGCACUGCCAAUAAUUCUUAUUUUUUAUCUUCGAUACCCUAUCAAUUGUUGAGGAUCACACGCCAUCGAAGGCUCUUCCAAUCUUCUCCCUUUCAAUACUCUUGGUCAUAUGAUCACCCUCCACAAAUUAUCUUAUAUGGCAUGGUCAGAUCCUUCCCCUCAUUGAAAGCCAAGACGUGGGGGGCUGCUUUUCAGACACCAAAUGACAAAUACCUGGCGUGGGGGGCUGCUGACCAACGUCUCCUUUGUCUUCUUCUCUUCUCUCACUGAAGAUUCUUCUGCUGAAAUUGUUGGCCUCUCUGCUACACGAGAGGUCAGGCUUGCCUUAGAGACCGCUUUCAAUCAUCGGUGCAAGGCCCCUGAGAUUCAUUUCAAAGAUGAACUCCAGUUAAUGAAAAGAGGUUCCAGACCCGUGACUGACUUUGCUCGUGCCUUCAAAAGCCUGAAUGAUCAGUUUCAUGCCAUUGGUCGUCCAGUUGAUGACACGAACAAAGUGCACUGGUUCCUCUGUGGCCUCGGUGCGAUUUCUCCAGUUUCUCCUCUACCUAGAUGACACUCACUCACUUGCCCAUUUUUUGCUGAUCUUGUUUCCAAAGCUGAAAGUUUUGAGAUUUUUCAGAGGUCCCUUAAGCCUACAGCACCUCCUUCUGCUGCCUUCACAGCCAUUCCCCGCGUGUCCAACUGCCCAAACCAGCGGAAUCCUUCCCGCUUUAACCCUGGCCAAUCCGCCUGCAAUGGCCGCACUAACUUCUCUCCUUGUCGUCUUCCUCGCAGUCAAAUCUAUCAAUCGUGAUGAAGGUCACUACGCUGAUCAGUGCCCGCAGCGCUACAACCGUGGUGACUCUGCUGCCCAUCUUGCUGAAGCAUUCAGCACUGGGUCUUGUUCUCUCAAUGACCCUCCGACCUCUGAUUGGUUUUUAGACACUAGAGCUUAAAGCUCACAUGUCUAAUGCUCCCUCUGUUUUGGAUCUACCCAUACCAUAUGUUGGUAAGGACUCUGUAAUUGUGGGAAAUGGUGCAUCUUUAACUAUCACACAUACAGAAUCGUCAAACAAGAAGGAAGGGUGGUAGCAACCGGUAAGAUGGAUGGCGACUUGAUAUGUGCUAGGACGUCGCAACAUGGCCUUUAUUUCCGUUCUCAAAAAUAAACAAUAACAUGCUUCCUAUGAUUUAUGGCAUGCUCGCAUUGGACAUGUAAUUAAUUAUGUUAUUUAUUCUUCCAAUAAAAAAAAGCCAUCUUUAUCUUUUACCCCUUUACAAGCUUCUCCUCACUUAUGCAGCUCCUACUUGUGAAAAACCAUCGCUUGUCAUAUCCAUGUAAUAAACGUAGGUCCUUCUCCAGUGUUCAUUACGAUAUUUGGGGUUCCUUCCCCGUCAACUCAAAUUCUGUCUUUACGUAUGAUGUUCUCGUCAUUGACAAUUAUUCUCGCUUUAGUUGGCUUUAUCCCUUACAAUUCAAAUAUGAUUUUGGUUCUGUUCCAGGUCCCUCUUCGCCUACUUUGGUCUCUGGUCCACUUUCUCCUAUGGCACUGUCGGGUCCUGUUGUGGCACAUACGGUCCCUCCUAUUUCUAUCACAUCCAAUCUGAUCAGUUUUCAUCCCAUGCUCACACGUGCUAAGGCUGGUAUUUUGAAGACCCGCCACCCCGCGAAUCUUGGUGCCUUCUGCUCCACUGGCCUUCUUUCGACAUUUCUUGCCUCUGCUAAGCUUAAGGGCUUCAAAUCUACUGCUAAGAAUCUUGCCUGGCUUGCCACCGUGAAUGAAGAAGUUCGAGAUCUGUAGCAUAAUCGCUCGCACCUGGGUUUUGGUCCUUUGCCCUGCCAGCACCAACAUUGUGGGCUCCAAAUGGGUGUUUCGAACCAAAUAUCUUUCUAAUGGCUCUACCGAGAGACUCGAGGCUCGUCUUGUUGCCAAGGAUUACACUGAGAUCCCUGGUCUUGACUAAACUAAUACUUCUAGCCUUAUUACUAAGGCUACUAUUGUUUGUGUUGUCCUUUUCUGUUGUUGUGACUAACUAGUGGCCUCUUCACCAAUUUAACGUCAAAAAUGUUUCUCUUAAUGCUACUCUUAGUGAAAAUAUCUAUAUGGAGCAAUCUCCUAGCUACAUUGAUCAUCGUUUCCCUGAUCAUGUUUGUCAAUUGAAGUAAGCUUUAUAUGGUUUCAAGUAGGCUCCUCGUGCCUGGUUUUAGCAUUGCAGUUCUUUUCUUCUUCAACUUGAGUUUACUUGCAGCCAUGCUAACACAUCUCUGUUUGUUUUUCAUACGCACUUUGCAAUUAUUUAUUUACUUUUCUAUAUUGAUGAUAUUAUUAUUACUGGAAAUGACUUACCUCUUCUUAAUUGUUUUACUCAUAAACUCCAUUAUGAGUUUGCUCCCAAAAACUCAGUUCUCCCAGCUAUUUUCUAGGUCUUGAAGCCUCGCUGGUUAUCGAUGGCCUUUUUCUUAGUCAGUUAAAAUAUGCCCAGUGAUAAUCUUACUCGAGCUCAAUUGUUUGACAGCAAGCCAAUUCCUAAUCCCAUGGUUGUCUCUCAACAUUUGUCUACUGAUGGUCAUUUGUUUUUUUAUCCCACUUUAUACAGGUCUCUUGUUUAUACAGGUCUCUUGUUGGUGCUCUUCACCAUCACUUGCCUUGAUAUUUCUCACGCUGUCAACUCUGUUAGCCAAUUUCUACAUGCCUCCACUGAAGAUGACUUCCAAGGGGUUAAGCGUAUUCUUUGUCAUGUCAAGGGUACUCUUUAUUUUGGCCAUACUUUUCACCGCUCUGUUAAUCUUGCUCCUCUCAUUGUCUAUUUUAUUGCUGAUUGGGCCAGUUUUCCGGGCACACGUAAUUUCACUUUCAACUACUCUGUUUUUCUUGGUGUCAAUUUGGUCUCUUGAAGUGCUAUAAAGCAAUCCACCGCCUCACUGGGAAUCAGAGUAUCGUGCUCUUGCCCACAUUGUCGAACUACUUGAGCUCACUCAUCUCCUAUGUGAUCUUCGGGUUUCCAUUCCUACACCGCCUCUACUUUUAUGUGACAACAAAAGUGGAAUUUCUUUGAGCUCCAACCGGGUUUCCAUAAGCACACCGAGCAUGUUGAAUUAGAUUAUUAUUUUCUGCGCAAACUUAUUCUUGCUGGCAAAAUUCACCCUCGAUAUAUUUUUCAUCUUCAGGUUGCCGACAUCUUCACCUAAAGUGUUCCUCAGCCUCUAUUCGAAUUUUUUCACUUCAAGCUUCACGUCCAUUCAAAUUCAACACUCAGCUUGCACACGCCCAUUUCAACAACAUCCCAUACUUAAGAUCCAUUGACCCUUGAUUAGUCAUUUACUUGAUUUUAGGAGAUUAGUUUCCAUUAUUGUUGAGAUAUCAUUUACUUUAACAAUAUUAUGUAAUUAUAAUUAUAGCAUCUCACCCACAUUCAAGGUGUGGUGGUUUUCA